GAAUGAAAUAGAAGUAAGUUACUUCUGUAUUUAAUUUUUAUUGGAAGCGUACUAUUAACCUUUGUAUCGUUCAUAGUUGAUUUGGUCUUAAUUUAUGCCGUAAUUUGUAAGUUUUUUCUUCAUUUGUGGUUUGUUCUAUUUUUCCUAAGUGUCCUCCUAUUCAUAUAAUAAUCUACUUGAUAAAGAUAAACCUGUGAAAAAUAGGAUAUGCGGUGAUACCAGAUCAAACAUAAUCCUUAUUUUGUUUUUGUAUAUUGUGAGGAUAGGAGAUAUAAAGAUGUGGCAGGAUUG
rnacentral:misc_RNA from 1 species